CAACUUCAUCCAUGCAAUUUCACUAUUAAGAAAUUAAAGCCUAACAAUGUUUAAAAGCUUUGAUAAGUUUUUCUCAGAAGAUAAACCAAACACUAAUUUUUCAAAGACAAACCUAAAUAGUAAUAAAAGGGCUCUCCUAACAUCAAAAGAAAAACCAAUCUGUUAAAGGGUCCUCUGAUAUGGUCGAACAACCCAUAGAAAAAUUAUGAACAUUGUACAAACAAGGUGCUAUUCACAGCAAAAUAA
rnacentral:lncRNA from 1 species